CGAACGCUGGCGGCGUGCUUAACACAUGCAAGUCGUACGGUAAGGCCCUUUCGGGGGUACACGAGUGGCGAACGGGUGAGUAACACGUGAGUAACCUGCCCACAACUUUGGGAUAACGCUAGGAAACUGGUGCUAAUACUGGAUAUGUGCUCCUGCUGCAUGGUGGGGGUUGGAAAGCUCCGGCGGUUGUGGAUGGACUCGCGGCCUAUCAGCUUGUUGGAGGGGUAGUGGCCUACCAAGGCGGCGACGGGUAGCCGGCCUGAGAGGGUGACCGGCCACAUUGGGACUGAGAUACGGCCCAGACUCCUACGGGAGGCAGCAGUGGGGAAUAUUGCACAAUGGGCGCAAGCCUGAUGCAGCAACGCCGCGUGCGGGAUGACGGCCUUCGGGUUGUAAACCGCUUUCAGCAGGGACGAAGCUUUUUGUGACGGUACCUGCAGAAGAAGCACCGGCUAACUACGUG
rnacentral:rRNA from 1 species